CCUACGGGAGGCAGCAGUAGGGAAUAUUGGUCAAUGGACGCAAGUCUGAACCAGCCAUGCCGCGUGAAGGAUGAAGGCCCUCUGGGUCGUAAACUUCUUUUAUUAGGGAAGAAACCUCAAGAUGCGUCUUGAGCUGACGGUACUUAAUGAAUAAGGAUCGGCUAACUUCGUGCCAGCAGCCGCGGUAAGACGAAGGAUCCAAGCGUUGUCCGGAUUUACUGGGUUUAAAGGGUGCGUAGGCGGAAAAUUAAGUCAGUGGUGAAAGCCCGCAGCUCAACUGUGGAACUGCCAUUGAAACUGGUUUUCUUGAAUAUAGCUGAGGCAGAUGGAAUAUAACAUGUAGCGGUGAAAUGCUUAGAUAUGUUAUAGAACACCGAUUGCGAAGGCAGUCUGCUAAACUAUUAUUGACGCUGAGGCACGAAAGCGUGGGGAGCGAACAGGAUUAGAUACCCUAGUAGUC
rnacentral:rRNA from 1 species